AAGAAAACCUCAAGACUUCUAAUCAUGGGUGGGUUCUUCAAAAUUUUAUGUUACUGAAUUAUAACAUUUGAACACUAUAAUAAUGGAAGAGAAUUUAUUAUACAACUUGUAUAGGGUACUCGACUGCAGGACUACACGUUAUUUUUGGGGCGUAAUCUCACAAAUUUUUCAGGUUUGAAAUUUGUGGAUCAUACCUCAGUCCAUAAAGAAUGUGGAUUUUUAGGGAAGGAUCACUUUAAUCCUAUGUGAAAAAAAAUUUCAACACAGAUAUUCCUGGUAACCUUAGCCUUAGAGAUGGAGGGUGUGCUUGUGUGUAUUCAUAUUCCCACAAAUACAGAAAGAAAAGCACUUCUUUAAAACAGAUGUAGGUACUUCAGUUCCUAAUGCCAGUCAGCUAGAUGUCUAGAAGGAAAUGCCCCCCCCCCCCCGCCCAGUGUGUGCUAGUGGUGCCUUGGAAUAUAUACUCUUUCACAUGCCAUCUUUACACCAAAGAUCUAAGGUACUGAUAGUCACUGAGACUUAUUUUCCCCUGAAAAACCAUCUUAGUUGGUUAAAAUGAAUUAUUAUUUCAGGUUUCGUUUAGUCACAGUAGUCACAGAGUUUAGGAAGGAACCUUCUAACACUAUACAGAUAUGUACAGGAACAUGUGAUCAGAAACAAACCAAAAAGAGCAAAGCUUUCUUCUCCUACUCAAAUAAAUCCUUGAUUAUAUCAGUAGGGUAGGAAUUAGCAGAAAUAGUGUAGUUUCUUGUGCUGCCUUUGCCAAAGAACACAAAAAUAUCUGCUACCUUAAGCUGUUCAGUAAGAAUGUGUAUAGGUUAGAGAUGACAGUUAGAGAUUUAUUGGAGGAUAACAUUAUCUGACAUCUACUAUUAUUUUUAAAUACCAUGAGAACAAAACUGUUUCUAGCUAACAGCCCUAGGAAAAAAACACCUUCUGCCAGGCUCCAUAGACUACUUAGCAAACCUGUGCCCAUCAAUUAGAAAACUGUAUCAUGCAAGGGGAGCCAGAGCCAUCUCUGAUGUUUUAUGAAGCAAAGAAACAACAGCUUUUUAAUUUCCGCUGUGACACACUGAAGUGGAUCGAGGUUGACAUGAAACAGUCCAAGAUUCAGUUUAGAAAAGUGAAUGAAGGACACAUUUUUCCUUGUUGGAAAUGUGCUUCCAGCAGAAGAGUAGAGCGCACUUCUGACCACAUAAGAAUCACUCUUCUUUGGGAGAAGCAAACUCCCAUCAGGUUUAGCAGACCCAGAGUCUACUUUACCUGCAUUUCUAAUGGACAGAGGCAAUCUAGUUUGCUGUAAAUUACAUUAAGAAUUUCAUCUAUCACUUGGACACUUUCUGUGGUUAGGCUAGAGUGCUGUCUCAAGUUGUUCAAUAUCCAGAGAUGAUUCUGUUUCAUUGCUUUGGACGUUUAAAAAUUUUAUUUUCCUAGUCAAGGACGUUAACAUGGUUAUUAUUUCAAUUAUAAGCCUGUCAGAUAGUCCCCUAUAAAUAAUGUAGCCUACCAGAGUAUCACAUUUUUAGAGCUCUUCUUACAUUGUGUGACCCUCUCUUACUCAUCCCUAAGGCUUUAAACUAUAGCUAUACCCCUGACGUUAAUUUACACUCUGUGCUAAGACAAUACAGUGUAUUAAAAAAAUAUAAUACAUCAGAGAUUUUCAGUGGAAACACGAAAAUUAGAAUCACUUGGCUGGGUAGUGGGUUAGGAAGAGAAUAAAAACUACAAAUAAUGUGCUUCACCCCAGAACAAGUAAGAAACUCUAGAGGGUGAGGAAGCACGUGGGCUACAAUACCAGCAUCUAAGCGCUAAAUAAUUUGCUGGCUAAAUGAAGUAA